rnacentral:piRNA from 1 species
UGAAAUUUCGUUUCUGUGAG